AUUGAACGCUGGCGGAAUGCUUUACACAUGCAAGUCGAACGGCAGCACGGACUUCGGUCUGGUGGCGAGUGGCGAACGGGUGAGUAAUGUAUCGGAACGUGCCCAGUCGUGGGGGAUAACGUAGUGAAAAUUACGCUAAUACCGCAUACGAUCUAUGGAUGAAAGCGGGGGAUCGCAAGAACUCGCGCGAUUGGAGCGGCCGAUAUCAGAUUAGGUAGUUGGUGGGGUAAAGGCCCACCCAGCCAACGAUCUGUAGCUGGUCUGAGAGGACGACCAGCCAGACUGGAACUGAGACACGGUCCAGACUCCUACGGGAGGCAGCAGUGAGGAAUCUUGGACAAUGGGCGAAAGCCUGAUCCAGCCAGUCCGCGUGCAGGAUGAAGGCCCUCGGGUUGUAAACUGCUUUUGUACAGAACGAAAAGGUUUCUACUAAUACAAGGAGGUCAUGACGGUACUGUAAGAAUAAGCGCCGGCUAACUACGUGCCAGCCGCCGCAGUAU
rnacentral:rRNA from 1 species